rnacentral:snRNA from 1 species
ACAGAUAGAGCAGUGAGC